CUCUAUAAAUAGGACCCAAAGUUCAGCCAUUUUAAGCCAAAAGUCUCUUGCCCUUAAAGUUCCAUCCUUUUGUCUUCUCUCUUCCUCCCAUUUUCGUACUUCUUCAUCCCGUAUAUGCUCCAGGCCAUUUUUCAUCCACUUUUGUUCAUUUUUAGCCUUUUUCUAUUUGAGACAAAGUUGUUCUUCUCAAAACAUCCUUGAGGUUAGGCUCAAGAAUCACCCAAUUCGGAAUUAUAUACUAUGAGAUAUGGCCUCUGCAAUAUCUGACUCUUCCUUUUCAACGUGAACCUUCCCGAGAUAGUUCGUGGUUGUAAAUCUAGGUGGAAUAGUUGUAAAGAUCAAGGUACGUACUCGUGGCUAGAUCUUUAAAUAUGUGAUUUUAUACAAAUGUGUAUUGUGUUUUGAAUGAUGAAAUAUGUUUGAAUCUUGAACAAGGAUUUAUGAAUGUUUAUGAAAUGAAUAUUGUGAAAUGUUUUA